rnacentral:sRNA from 1 species
GAUAAAAAUUCUUGAAUCUAAUUGGAAAAAAGCAGAAAAUGAAGUUGAGAGAUUUGAUGAUCUUGUGGAGCAGAUAAGACAGGCCUGCGUAGAUAGCCAUUGCCAGUCUACAGUGCCUGUAGUGUUACACAUUGUCCGGCUGAUUGAUGGGAAAGUGGACUGCCUACAACCAAGGAAGGAAUCUGGAGGAUCUUAAAAAGAAUUGAAACCAAAUGUUCAUGUUCUCAACUUUUUUAUACUUUUAGUGUUGUUCAUACCAAACUCAUACAAAUACUUGACAAUGGCCUUCAACUUUAAACAAAUUUUCUAACUCAUAUUAAAGCGCACUGUAUGUUUUAUAAGAAGAAUCUAUAUAAAUGUACACAAAAAUGCAGGCCAUGGGUUAAAUGAACAAGUUGUUGAUAUUAUGUAAGGUCUCAUUGAAUGCUUCCAAAAUAAAGUUGUUUGUAUUUAACAUUAACUUAUUACUUUUACAUUCUUUUUUUUUUUAUUGGUUACAUUUGUACACAGUUUGAAAGUGCCUUUUGAAAGACUGAUGGGUCACACCAGUAAUGUAUUAUUUGACACAUUAGUCACUCUAAUCUAGCUCCAAAUGAAAGCUUUCAGGAAAGUGAAAUGGUCACCAAGUAGUUAGUACAUCUAGUUGGGGAUAUAAAAAAAAAAAGUUUCUCCAACUUCUUUGCCUAUUUUGACAAUACCUUGUAUACAUGUAAUAGGUUUGGUUUUAUAAGUAAAGCCUACAUGUAAUGUGCUUUUCAUGGUUUAGACCUUAUUUGUUAAUUUGUUAUCUAAUCAUGUACAUAGCAACCUUAUUUUUUUUCUUUCAAAUUUUGUACUAAAUUAAACAAAUAUUAUCUCUA